rnacentral:tRNA from 1 species
UCCCGUGUGGCUCAGUUGGUAGAGCAUGGUGUUUGCAACGCCAGGGUUGUGGUUUCGAUUCACAUGGGGGAC